rnacentral:rRNA from 1 species
CGGUGGGGUCACACCCGUUCCCAUUUCGAACACGGCAGUUAAGCCCACCUGCGCCGAUGGUACUUGGAGGUCCCCUCCUGGGAGAGUAGGUCGCCGCCG